rnacentral:rRNA from 1 species
UAGGGAAUAUUGGACAAUGGGGGCAACCCUGAUCCAGCCAUGCCGCGUGAGUGAAGAAGGCCCUCGGGUUGUAAAGCUCUUUUGUCCGGAAAGAAAAGCAUUCGGUGAAUACCCGGAUGUUCUGACGGUACCGGAAGAAUAAGCACCGGCUAACUUCGUGCCAGCAGCCGCGGUAAUACGAAGGGUGCAAGCGUUACUCGGAAUUACUGGGCGUAAAGCGUGCGUAGGUGGUUGUUUAAGUCUGAUGUGAAAGCCCUGGGCUCAACCUGGGAAUGGCAUUGGAAACUGGGCAGCUAGAGUGCGGUCGAGGGUAGUGGAAUUCCCGGUGUAGCAGUGAAAUGCGUAGAGAUCGGGAGGAACAUCUGUGGCGAAGGCGACUGCAUGGACCAGCACUGACACUGAGGCACGAAAGC